rnacentral:rRNA from 1 species
AGUGAACGCUGGCGGUAGGCCUAACACAUGCAAGUCGAACGGCAGCACAGUAAGAGCUUGCUCUUACGGGUGGCGAGUGGCGGACGGGUGAGGAAUACAUCGGAAUCUACUUUUUCGUGGGGGAUAACGUAGGGAAACUUACGCUAAUACCGCAUACGACCUACGGGUGAAAGCAGGGGAUCUUCGGACCUUGCGCGAUUGAAUGAGCCGCUGUCGGAUUAGCUAGUUGGCGGGGUAAAGGCCCACCAAGGCGACGAUCCGUAGCUGGUCUGAGAGGAUGAUCGGCCACACUGGAACUGAGACACGGUCCAGACUCCUACGGGAGGCAGCAGUGGGGAAUAUUGGACAAUGGGCGCAAGCCUGAUCCAGCCAUACCGCGUGGGUGAAGAAGGCCUUCGGGUUGUAAAGCCCUUUUGUUGGGAAAGAAAAGCAGCAGGUUAAUACCCCGCUGUUCUGACGGUACCCAAAGAAUAAGCACCGGCUAACUUCGUG